rnacentral:pre_miRNA from 1 species
CAGUUCUGAGACCGAUGUUAAGCAGGGGCGACGUAGAACACAUGCACGUGAAUGCAUGAGUUGCUAGUCGCCCGACACCACUAGACGACGACAGCAACC